UACGUAGGGUGCGAGCGUUAAUCGGAAUUACUGGGCGUAAAGCGUGCGCAGGCGGUGAUGUAAGACAGUUGUGAAAUCCCCGGGCUCAACCUGGGAAUUGCAUCUGUGACUGCAUCGCUAGAGUACGGUAGAGGGGGGAUGGAAUUCCACGUGUAGCAGUGAAAUGCGUAGAUAUGUGGAGGAAUACCGAUGGCGAAGGCAGCCCCCUGGGAUAACACUGACGCUCAUGCACGAAAGCGUGGGAGCAAACAGG
rnacentral:rRNA from 1 species